GCAUUAUGAGCAUAUACCUAGAUAUUUCUCCCCCUUUUUGACAACAUCAAAAAGAUAGUGAAACAUUAAGCACAAAGAUAAGAAUACUCAAAUAUUUCUUUUUCUUAUUGUACUCUGAUUUGCAUGUCAAAUUAUUGCAAGGAUAUGAAUCAUAUAACUCAAGGCAAUAAUAUUAGAAUAAGAUUAAUGAGCAUAGAUCAGAGCCAAUUAAGAUAAUUUCAGA
rnacentral:lncRNA from 1 species